rnacentral:rRNA from 1 species
AACGAACGCUGGCGGCAUGCCUAACACAUGCAAGUCGAACGAGACCUUCGGGUCUAGUGGCGCACGGGUGCGUAACGCGUGGGAACUUGCUCUUCUGUUCCGGAUAACUCCACGAAAGGGGUGCUAAUACCGGAUUAUUUCUUCGGACCAAAGAUUUAUCGCCUUUGUUUUUGGGCACGUUGGAUUAGCUAGGUGGUUGGGUAGGAGCCUACCAAGGAGACGAUCCAUAGCUGGUCUGAGAGCAUGGUCAACAACACUGGGACUGGGACAUGGUCCAGAUUCCGCCGAGAGGCAGCAGUGGGGAAUAUUGGACGAUGGGCGAGAGCCUGAGCCAGCAAGGCCGCGUGAGUGAGGAAGGCCUUAGGGUUGUAAAGCUCGUUUACCCGGGAUGAUAAUGACGGUACCGUGAGAAUAAGCACCGGCUAACUCCGUG